ACCCGGGCAACAUCGUCAAACUGCGGGAAAGCCCUGCCACGACUCUCGGGACCUCACCGCCCCAGCAAUGGAAGCGGGUGCCUACGGCCAACGGCCGCGGGUAUGGUAAAGCACCGAAGUCUAGGGGCAAUCCGCCGCCAAACCCUCCCCGCACCGGGAGGGCCCAGCUCACAGGCCAGACGGCGAUGGGCGCUCUCGCGCUUAAGAUAUGGUCGAGUGACCCGCCGAGAGGCGGGUGCAACUCAGGAACGUCCGUAGGUGAACCUGCGGAAGGAUCAUU
rnacentral:rRNA from 1 species